GCAUUUAACUACUUGUAACGCCGACCUGAAGAUGAUCUGUAUAUUGUAGAGAUCGAAACCGGUCGUCAAAGUAUAAUUAAAUGAUUGUGAAGGCCACCAUCAUCCGCUUACGUACGUUUCCUCCUCUUUUACUCCAAGAAAUGAAGCUUAAAAUAGGAUAAGAUUUGUGAAAUGUCGAAGACUGUCAUGGCUGGGACAUGUACAGAGACAGGGCGAUGUAAAAACGACAAAGAAAAUAUUACAAUGGAAGCGGAUAGGAAGACGAAAAAAAGCAAGGCCCAGAACGAGAUGGCUGUAUGACAUGGAAGACGACCUUGAAACCAUGAACAUAAGAUAAUGGAGAAGAAGAGCACACCAGAGAAGGACAUAGCGAGCGAGGCAAAGAUCCAUCCAGGGUUAUGAUGCCAAAAGAAGAAGAAUAAUUAUAUAUCUAAGAAUACUAAGUUUUCACUCUAAUGGCAUAUAAAACAACAUAAUGCUAUUCUACACCACACCAGAAUGAAAACAAUGGGAACCUUCUCUGGUUAAAAUUGAAAACAUGGGAAAUUGAAAAUGGUUAUUCAUUUUUAAUUAUAUAUCUACUUUGCGUUAUUUCAUAAAUUUUUUAACAUA